rfam:Populus trichocarpa isolate Nisqually-1 chromosome 16, whole genome shotgun sequence.
CCACCGUGAGUUGGAGUGAGUGGGUCGUUACUUGACCCAGGAAAGUCCCCGAGCCCAAUUCUGCAGAAAUGCAGCCCUGGAAACGGGGUCUCUUCGUGCAUCGAGUCUUCCCUGCCUUGCGCAGGGGGGGCUGAGACGCGUGUGGAGCCUUGACCUGAUGCCGAAGUAACUUGGCCGAAUGCUCUACAGUUAUUCACUCGGUUCAUAUUAGUAUGUGGACCAACAGAACGGGGCUUAUGAUUCAUGGUG